UCAGAAGACAUUUGUUUAAAUACUUCUAGAAAUCUGAGCUGUUGGUGUGGUAAUAAUAUUAGAGCUGGCAAUCUUUCUUACUGAAUCUCUACUCUGAGUCAUGUUACCUGAGAUUAAUUCUAUGUUUACCUGACAGCCUGGACAAAUGUGUUGUGUGAAGGAUGUAAAUCAAAUCAGAUCUUAACUGCUUACAUUUAAGGAGCCUGGUCAUAUUUAAUUGUAAUAUGAACCAAUGAUUUUCUGAUUGCUGAUUCUAAGAGAGUCUUUGUGGAAAUCCUGUUUGGCUUUUUGUCAUUUUACUUCUCUUUUCCGUUUGCCAGAACAGUUCUCCACAGUCGCUGUCCACAUGGGUCAGUGGGACCAAGCAGCACUCUGCUAAUGUGUGGACUCUGUCCAGCAACAUCCAGCAAGACCCAGGCAGCGUUUUCUAUCUCCCAGCUGCAGUUUUUUGUUUGUCUGUGACUGGAGAGUCAGAUUUUUGUUGAAGCUGGAGGAACAGAGAGGUUAAUACACGCUACUGAUCCCUGAUGGGAGAAUCAUCACCUCUGCCAACAAAGAAGCCUGGUGGAUAUUUGUUUGCAGUCUGAUGAUGGGACCUCAUGCUCUGCAUCUUCAAUUCUUUUUGCAGGAUCAGAAAACAAAACCAGGAG